rnacentral:rRNA from 1 species
GUACACUCCUGCGGGAGGCAGCAGUGGGGAAUUUUGGACAAUGGGCGAAAGCCUGAUCCAGCAAUGCCGCGUGUGUGAAGAAGGCCUUCGGGUUGUAAAGCACUUUUGUCCGGAAAGAAAUCCUUGGCUCUAAUACAGUCGGGGGAUGACGGUACCGGAAGAAUAAGCACCGGCUAACUACGUGCCAGCAGCCGCGGUAAUACGUAGGGUGCGAGCGUUAAUCGGAAUUACUGGGCGGAAAGCGUGCGCAGGCGGUUUGCUAAGACCGAUGUGAAAUCCCCGGGCUCAACCUGGGAACUGCAUUGGUGACUGGCAGGCUAGAGUAUGGCAGAGGGGGGUAGAAUUCCACGUGUAGCAGUGAAAUGCGUAGAGAUGUGGAGGAAUACCGAUGGCGAAGGCAGCCCCCUGGGCCAAUACUGACGCUCAUGCACGAAAGCGUGGGGAGCAAACAGGAUUAGAAACCCGAGUAGUCCCAU